rnacentral:rRNA from 1 species
UACGUAGGGGGCGAGCGUUGUCCGGAUUUAUUGGGCGUAAAGAGCGUGUAGGCGGCCAGGUAGGUGGGUUGUGAAACUGGAGGCUCAACCUUCAGACGUCGACCCAAACCCCUUGGCUAGAGUCCGGAAGAGGAGAGUGGAAUUCCUGGUGUAGCGGUGAAAUGCGCAGAUAUCAGGAGGAACACCCGGUGGCGAAGGCGGGUCUC